rnacentral:other from 1 species
GAUUCCCUUCCUACAAUCAAACAAAUUGUCCAAUUACAACAACAAACCUAGGGAUCUG